UACAGAGGUCUCAAGCGUUGUUCGGAUUCAUUGGGCGUAAAGGGCGCGUAGGCGGCGGGGUAAGUCGGGUGUGAAAUCUCAGAGCUCAACUCUGAAACUGCACUCGAUACUGCUCUGCUUGAGGACUGGAGAGGAGACUGGAAUUCACGGUGUAGCAGUGAAAUGCGUAGAUAUCGUGAGGAAGACCGGUGGCGAAGGCGGGUCUCUGGACAGUUCCUGACGCUGGGGCGCGAAGGCCAGGGGAGCAAACGGG
rnacentral:rRNA from 1 species